UGUUUGGAGUGUUUUUUUUAAGAAAUAUUCUAUUUUCUGUUGUAUUUCCCUUGACAUCGAUGUUUUGCAGCUAUAUCUCUCCAAUGCUAUGUAAUUUGAUACAAGAAGAAUACAAAAAACAAUGUUAUUUUAAACCGAAAUUCUUGUUAUCCGAAACGGUUUCGUCCCCAAUUAUUUCUGUUAACGGAGGUUUUACUGUAUUUAAUUGUAUUUAUCGUAGUUUUAUAUUUUUACAAUAGAAAUGUCUUUCUAAUAUGA
rnacentral:lncRNA from 1 species